rnacentral:misc_RNA from 1 species
UUAAGUUCAGCGCGUAUUCCUACCUGAUCUGAGGUCAAUAAAUGAAGAAGCCAAGAGCACAGGGCACGAGGCGGGCUUUAGGUGCAGCACCAUGAUUGCACCGGAGAAGCAACGAGUUGGACGAACCUAGAACGUUGUGUAAACCGGGCGGCGGGCCGCACCAAUGCAUUUGAGGACAGCGAUCCCAGAAGGUUCGCAGG